GUACUCACUGUGGCGGCACAUAUACUAACACUGGAAUGAUAUAGAAAAGAUCAGCAUGGCCCAUGCACAAGGAUGACAUGCAAAUUUGUUAAGUGUUGCAUUAAAAA